rnacentral:rRNA from 1 species
UACGUAGGGUGCGAGCGUUGUCCGGAAUUAUUGGGCGUAAAGAGCUUGUAGGCGGUUUGUCGCGUCUGCUGUGAAAGUCCGGGGCUCAACUCCGGAUCUGCGGUGGGUACGGGCAGACUAGAGUGAUGUAGGGGAGACUGGAAUUCCUGGUGUAGCGGUGAAAUGCGCAGAUAUCAGGAGGAACACCGAUGGCGAAGGCAGGUCUCUGGGCAUUAACUGACGCUGAGGAGCGAAAGCAUGGGGAGCGAACAGG